GAUGAACGCUGGCGGCGUGCCUAAUACAUGCAAGUCGAGCGAACAGACGAGGAGCUUGCUCCUCUGACGUUAGCGGCGGACGGGUGAGUAACACGUGGAUAACCUACUUAUAAGACUGGGAUAACUUCGGGAAACCGGAGCUAAUACCGGAUAAUAUAUUGAACCGCAUGGAUCAAUAGUUCAUGACGGUUUUGCUGUCUCUUAUAGAUGGAUCCGCGCAGCAUUAGCUGGUUGGUAAGGUAACGGCUUACCAAGGCAACGAUGCUUAGCCGACCUGAGAGGGGGACAGGCCCCACUGGAACUGAGACAGGGUCCAGACCCCUACGGGAGGCAGCGGGAGGAAAUCUUCCGCAAGGGGCGAAAGCCUGACGGAGCAACGCCGCGUGAGUGAUGAGGGUCUUCGGAUCGUAAAACUCUGUUAUGAGGGAAAAACAAAUGUGUAAGUAACUAUGCACGUCUGGACGGAACCAAAGCAGAAGGCCACGCCUACCUACGG
rnacentral:rRNA from 1 species